GUGAAUCAUCAAAUUUUUGAACGCAAAUUGCACUCUCUUCUGAUAGGAUGCCUGUUUGAGGGUCAGCCUAAAAAAAAACGACGUAGUCGCUGUUUCUCGUUGUCAUUCGUCGGAAAUUGGGUCAGCUUAAACCGUUGGGUUUUUUAAGCUGCUUAAAAUUUUCUUUACGAUUCCACCAUCGUUUCAA
rnacentral:misc_RNA from 1 species